UGUGUGAUAGUGUGGUGGUAGCAAGUCCUCCAAUAAUAGUAGAGUAAAGUGAGCAUGUCGGAGGGAAGUCCAGAGUUCAAAUCUCUGCCACACCU